rnacentral:rRNA from 2 species
GGAUGCGAUCAUACCAGCACUAAAGCACCGGAUCCCAUCAGAACUCCGAAGUUAAGCGUGUUUGGGCGAGAGUAGUACUAGGAUGGGUGACCUCCUGGGAAGUCCUCGUGUUGCAUUCC